GACGAACGCUGGCGGCGUGCUUAACACAUGCAAGUCGAACGAUGAAGCCCAGCUUGCUGGGUGGAUUAGUGGCGAACGGGUGAGUAACACGUGGGCAACCUGCCCCAAACUCUGGGAUAACUCCUCGAAAGAGGUGCUAAUACCGGAUACGAACUAGACAGACAUCUGUACUAGUUGGAAAGUUUUUCGGUUUGGGAUGGGCCCGCGGCCUAUCAGCUUGUUGGUGAGGUAACGGCUCACCAAGGCUACGACGGGUAACCGGCCUGAGAGGGGGACGGGUCACGCGGGGACGGAGACACGGCCCAGACUCCGACGGGAGGCAGGAGGGGGGAAUAUUGCAGAAUGGGCGAAAGCCUGACGCAGCGACGCCGCGUGGGGGAUGAAGGUCUUCGGAUCGUAAACCUCUUUCAGUAGGGACGAAGCGAAAGUGACGGUACCUAAAGAAGAAGCACCGGCUAACUACGUGCCAGCAGCCGCGGUAA
rnacentral:rRNA from 1 species